UACGUAGGGUGCAAGCGUUGUCCGGAAUUAUUGGGCGUAAAGAGCUCGUAGGCGGUCCGUCACGUCGGGAGUGAAAACUUGGGGCUUAACCCCAAGCCUGCUUCCGAUACGGGCGGACUAGAGGUAGGCAGGGGAGAACGGAAUUCCUGGUGUAGCGGUGAAAUGCGCAGAUAUCAGGAGGAACACCGGUGGCGAAGGCGGCCUUCUGGACAGUGACUGACGCUGAGAUGCGAAAGCGUGGGGAGCAAACGGG
rnacentral:rRNA from 1 species